GGGCUUGUCUUUGGUUUCGACAGGGGUAUAAAAUAUUUAAAUGCGUUCGGAAUUGAUAAAUCACGUUACGAUUAUCAACUUAUAAAUUUAACUGACAAUAGAAUGUUAGCUGUAGCCUAGUUGCUACACCAAAAAACUAAGAGGUAUUGCUAGUAUUAGUUGAGGUUCAAAAACAAGCAUAUUUAAAAAACAUCCUUCUAUAUAAGUAAACAUUAAUAUGGAUAACAACGUAAACAUUUAAAUAAAGUAGUAUUUUUGGAAAUGGGUUCGACCCCCAUCAAGUCCACUC
rnacentral:tmRNA from 1 species